rnacentral:rRNA from 1 species
AGAGUUUGAUCCUGGCUCAGGAUGAACGCUAGCUACAGGCUUAACACAUGCAAGUCGAGGGGAAACGAUAUUGGAAGCUUGCUUCCGAUAGGCGUCGACCGGCGCACGGGUGAGUAACGCGUAUCCAACCUGCCCACCACUUGGGGAUAACCUUGCGAAAGUAAGACUAAUACCCCAAUGAUAUCUCUAGAAGACAUCUGAAAGAGAUUAAAGAUUUAUCGGUGAUGGAUGGGGAUGCGUCUGAUUAGCUUGUUGGCGGGGUAACGGCCCACCAAGGCGACGAUCAGUAGGGGUUCUGAGAGGAAGGUCCCCCACAUUGGAACUGAGACACGGUCCAAACUCCUACGGGAGGCAUCA